GCAUGGGUAGCUCAGUUGGUAGAGCAUGCAAUUAUUCUUAAUCUCAGAAGCAUGGGUUCAAGCCACAUGUUGGACA